AUACCACACACACAAAACACAUAACACACGCACACACACAGCACGCCUUUCACUCUCCCUCUCUCUCCCUCUCGGUCUGCCUCCCUCUCCCUCGCCGGACGACAGCGGCGCCGUCAGCAGCGAGCGCCGCUUCGCCGGCCGCUUCUCUUCCCUUCCCCUAUUCUCUCUUUCCCCUUUGGUUCUUCCCUUUUCGUCCGUCUCUAUCUCUCGGAAACAACCACACGCCGCCUCCUACAUGUGCUACCCCGCCUCCUCCGCCGUGACAGAACACGGCCACCUCUCUCAGCCCCUGUCAUCUACUGGUCGUCUUCUUCACCGGCCGUCCGAACUCGCCGUGGAGAAGCCGAGCAUCGUUUCUCACAGGACCAGCCCGGUGCUCCCACCGCCGUAUCGCCGCCGCCGAUGCCGCCGCGUCGUCGUCACCGGAGAAGAUAAGUCCUCCCUUCCCUCUCUUCUUCUCUUACCCCUUUUCUCCGUUUCUCUCUCUCUCUUUUUUUUUUUAAACUGAAACUCUAAUAAUCUUUCUCCUCUCCCAAUUUCUGACAGAAAAAGGAAAAGGCGGCUCGGCGGCACCGUUGCCGUCGCCGGCCCUGAGCAGCCGCCGGCUGUCUCACUCCCUCCCCUGACUCGGGCACACAAGGACGGGAGACUCAUCCCCCCAAAUUCCAGUCACACGCACAAAAGCAAAAUUAGGGUUUUAUUAAUCUGUUCUUUCAAUCAUUCAUUUCCUUUUUAUUAAAACUGAUUGUACAUGUAAUAGAUUAGAGAAUAUAGUAAAAUGUGUGCGUGUGUAUUAUUCUGUUGGUGGUUCUCUGAUGGUGAUAAGCUGAUGUAAUUGAAACAAUAAUAGUCUAAAAGAAGUGGUAAUGGAUGCGUGUGUUCGAUCUGUUUUCAUUUGAA